rnacentral:rRNA from 1 species
CAGUAGCCGCGGGAACACGAAGGGUGCAAGCGUUAAUCGGAAUUACUGGGCGUAAAGCGCGCGUAGGUGGUUUGGUAAGAUGGAUGUGAAAUCCCCGGGCUCAACCUGGGAACUGCAUCCAUAACUGCCUGACUAGAGUACGGUAGAGGGUGGUGGAAUUUCCUGUGUAGCGGUGAAAUGCGUAGAUAUAGGAAGGAACACCAGUGGCGAAGGCGACCACCUGGACUGAUACUGACACUGAGGUGCGAAAGCGUGGGGAGCAAACAUGAUUAGAUACCCGCGUAGUCCCUGUCUCUUAUAC